GUGAGGAACGGGUGCUGUGUACGAGAGGGAGCCGAGGGCUUCGUCUUCCCAGCAACAGGCGCUCGUGCCUCAGAGGCACGACAGAUUCCUAGGCGCUGCUUGAGUGUGACGUGUUUCCCAACUGCCACUACCCUCUUCAAAGUACUGACCUUGCAUAGUUUAAGCUAUUGUAUUCUUACCGCAUUAUCGGUUCGUCAUCUUUAUCGAUUCAUUUCCUUGCAUGCUUUCUACAGGCUGCCUCUUCAAGCCUCAGGAGGACAGUGCUCCUAAACUGGCCUGCACUUUACAUCACAUGGGGAUCUUCUAAAAAUUCCAAGCCCAGAGCAUACCCCAGGCCAAUUAAAUCACAAUUCCCUAGCGGUGGGAAACAGGUAUCAGUAGUUUUGGAAAUUCUCCAGGUGAUUCCAAUGUGCAGAAAAGUUUGGGAACCACUGCCCUAAGGCCUUGCUGCUCAAAGUGUGGACUGUGGACCAGCAGCAUCACUAGAAAUCAGAACCUCUAACUACUUCAAUCAGAGAUCUCUGGGUGAUUUGACACACAUUAAGAUUUGGGAAGCACUGUUUAGAGGCCUGAAUGGAUAUGGGUAUCUUGAUUUAUGAGGACCACGUGUUUAAAGGAUGUCCUUGGAUGAGGAUAACAACGACAGGAUGGAUUGUGUGACCUUCCACCAGAGACUUACAAUCUAUGAUACUCCCGUGACUGCCACAGAGCCACCUGUGUUUAAAGUACCAGUGAUAAUGGGAGUGAACCUGCAUAUAAUGGCUUAAGGGUCCAUCUGUUUAAAGAUGCAACAAGAUGAAAACAUGUCCUCCAUCUGCCACUCUCGCUUUUUUGUUGAACGAGCUGGGAUCCUGCAGAUGAGUGAGUGCUGUCUCCUGCCCGCUGGGACUGGUCUAGACCUGCUCCCAGCGCCAGUCCUACCACGUGCUAUUCCAGCAGGCAAGAAUCAGAGGCUUUGAAACUGUUCUUCUUGCAGAAGAACCCUCACCUGUGAUCUUGGAAGAAAAAGUUUUAAGAAACGAACAAAUUAUUAAUUUGGAAGCCAUCCUGGAGUUCUGAAAACUAAAAUCUGCUCUUUGAAAGACACUACAGGGAAAAUAUGUUUAAAUACUCAACUAAUAAGUAAUUCUAUUCCAUAAGUACCUUCUAGUCAUGGUAGAUAUUUACGAAUAGGUUGAACAAGAAAAAAUUAAGGUCAAUUCUUCUUGACCUGAGAAGCCUGAAAAAAAGUAGACAGUCUCAAACUUACUUCCUUUUACUCAGGGGAAAGGCAAUCUCGAGAUACAACAGUCUGGUUUCCAAGAGGGACCUGGAGAAGAGAGAAUGCAGGCAGCAGUGGCUGAAACAGAGCUGUCACCUACAGUUUGAAUAAUUUUAACACUAAUAUCAUUUACGUACAUUCAAGUGAACUCUUUUCUUUGUGCCCAGAUGGUGUAUUGACAUAACUGCUUUAAUGAAAAGAUCUUUUGACAACAAACGCGUUUUAGUUUUUGAAAGAGGAAGCAUUCCUUGUUGGGCUUAAUUGAUGAGGUUUAAAUAUCCUCUUUUUUCUAGGAAAUCUAGCUCUCUAACUCCUCUCGUGUUGUUAAUGCCCAGGGUGUAGGGAGCAAUGGACUGAGAGUGCCCACAUCCCCCAGGGCCUCACAGAACCAUCUCAUCGGGGGUCUGCUCCCUCUGUACCUCCACCUCCGCAUCUGUUUUGUGGGUAUCUUCCCAUAGCAGGCACUUUCCUCCUGUUCCUGAGGAGGUUGUAAGCCCGGAGAGACAAGGUGAGUGAGCAUGCCUUACCUGGAACGUGCUACUGCUUCAGUCCUUCCUCUGAUUUCCCCCAGCCCCAGCUCAGGUCGGGGCAGGGUCGACAGCUGGCCAAGAAUAUAAAACUGGCUGUUUGAACCAAUGGCUCUUUCAUGAGCUUAGCCAGGUGUCUGGUGUUGGGCCACAGUCAGUAUAUUCAUCUUUAGAGGCCAGAAGUCCAAGUUGCCUUCUGAGGUUGGUGGAAAGGAGGAGGAGAGGUGAAGAUGACCUCCUUCCCAGAAGGUGGAACCGAGGAUGACCGUCUACUAGCAGCACCCGGGGGACUAGCUCUGCGUCCUGGAACUUCCUUCUCUCAACAGGAAGUGAUGGACUGAAUAACACUUAACGCAAAGUGGGAAGCGGUCCUCCGAGUACAUGCCAGAAUGGUUAUAGACAGAGGGCUAAAGUAGUUGGAAGAAAAUUCUUGUUGAAAUAUUCCCGUCUGUAUUUUAGACAGAUUUCACCUCUGAGGAUAAAAUGAUGUAUUAUAGCAACAACAGCCUAAAUUAAUAAAAGCACAGGAAAAGACUUUAAUAGAAACUGGAAACUUCUGUAACUUUUGCCCAACCCAGAACUUUGGGAGAUGUUAGAUGAGACAUCAGCUACAGAACCUAGAACUGAGAGCAUUUCCCAGGACGUUAGUAACAGGUUUAGCUAAAUAGGACUACGAUUCCUGCUCUCAUAGCUCCUCACUGUUUGCAAAGACAAAUAAUCACCCAGACUACAGAGACCAACACACAACAAAAAGGGAAAUUUAAUCAAUAUUUAAUAAACAUUUUUGAUGCUAAUGAUAACAAUAAGUGUUUUACAUAUUUGAAUCAGUAUGGCAAAAUACCUAUAGGCCUGUAUCAGCCGUGAGAUUACUGGUUUAACGUCCAAAGAAAAAUAAUACUUCAUACCAAUGUGUAUAAACACAUAGGGCUGUCACGCUCUGCACAUGUGGCCACAUAUCAGACUUUGUGCUUUUAAGCACAACCUGAUAUAUUUGAGCUUUACAAAAAACUGUAAGGAAAUGUGUUAUUCCAAGUGUAUGGAUAAAUAAAUUAGAAAGUGGAGUUUUAAAAGAAAAUGUUGAUUGAAUAUAGGGAAAUGAUUUGCCUAAAGUAACACAAUUCAGUGGUUGAGCUGAAAUGAGGAGACCAGUCUCUAGGCUUCCAGUUCACUGUGCCACCUGCAGAGCAGUGGGGGUGCCUCAAAGCUCUCUUCUGAGAGCCUUCACAGGCAGGUGGGGCCUGAAGGAAAUGUGGUCCUCCUGCCUCCCCGCUCUAUCUCAUCCUUCGUCUGCUGUCCUGAGAUUCGAAGGCUGGGAGGGUUAUGAGGUUUCAUUUGAGACAGCUAUUUGGCUUCCCCUAACUCCCUGAUGAGGGAAACCACGGAAGAUGUGUUUCUGCAGAGUGAUGACACUGGUCAUUGUGGGUGAGAUGAAGAAGAAUUUUAUCACUCUAAUGAUUGAGAAUUGUUUGCAAAUGAUGAUGUAUACGCAUCCAUAAUCAGGAAUGGACAAGAGAAAUGGUGUGAGAAGAGAGAGGGAACAGGGAGGAAGAGAUGCUCCACAGAGUGGAAAAGAGCAAGAGGAGGAAUGAUUGGGAAAUAAAUACAUGUCGCUUAGUGGUUUCCAGACAUUGAAUGAGUAUAAUUCUGAUAACUCUUUCAAUAAAUAUAUUUAUUCUCUCUAAUACAUCCUUUUAAAAGUUUUAAAAAUUGUGGUAAAAUACAAAUGACAAAAGUUUCCAUCCUCAUCAUUUUAAGCCGUAUAGUUCAGUGGCGAUAAGUGUAUUCAGAUUGUUGUGCAACCAUCACCACCAUCCAUCUCCAGAACUCUUUUCAUCUUGCAAAACUGAAACUCCGUAUCCGCUAAACGCUAACUCCCCAUUGCCUCCUGCCCCAGCCCCUGGCAACCACCAUCUACUUUCUGUCUCAAGGAAUUUGACCACUCUAUACCUCAUAUAGAUGGAAUCAUACACUAUUUGUUCUUUUGUGUCUGGCUUAUUUCACUUAGCAUAAUGUCCUCAAGGUUCAUCCAUGUUGUAGCAUUUGUCAGAAUUCUCUUUUUAAGGCUGAAUAAUAAGAAUUCCAUUGUAUAUAUACCACAUUUUGUUUAUGCAUUCAUCUGUCAAUGAACAUUUGGGUUGCUUCCACCUUUUGGCUUUGUCAAUUAUGCUGCUAUGAACACGGGUGUACUCAUAUCUGUCAAGUCCCUGUUUUCCAUUCUUUUGGGUAUAUACCCAGAAGUAGAAUUGCUGGAUCAUAUGGUAAUUCUAUUUUUAAAAAUUUUUAAUGGUGGUUAAAAAAAAACCCACAUAACACAAAUUUAUCAUCUUACCAAUUUCUAAGUGUACAGUUCAGUAGUAGUCAUCUAUUUUUAAUUUUUUGAGGAUCCACCAUGCUGUUUCCGUAGUCUGUAAUACGUUCUUGUGUUCCUCAUCAGCAAACGAGAUGAUACAAGAGAAGCUCUUCUGAGUAAAUUUGAAUUCAAUAAUUAUUAACUAACAAGAACAGCACCAGUGAUAAAAGUAGUACUAAUGAUGCUGGUGACAAUUUAUGGGGAACUUUCUAUGGAACCCUGUGCCGGGCACUAUAGAUGAUGUAAAGACCUGUUGGACACUCUCUUUGCCUUCACUGAGCUUAUAAUCUCCCUGGAGGGACAAACAUGGGGGCACCGAACUCGUAAUUUAAGCAGAAGCAGAAGUGCACACAGAGGUGUGCCGGAGCUGGGGCACCUGUCGGCAAGAGCCCAUCGGUGGGUGCAUCUCUUCCCAACUCCAGGUUUGGUGAUGUCACAGUCAGCCAGGGUGGGAGUGUUCAGAAGAAAGGAAUCACAAACAGUACAAGUCAGGGCUUGUUUUCCUCCCCAAAGAGCUGGUUUCUAAACAUUUACCAGCAUGCCACUGAGCACACCUAACUGAGGUGAGAACCCAGAAAAGAGCAUUUUGGGGCUGGGAGUAUCAAGGACUUGGGAAGCAUGGACUCAUGGACUCUGCUCUCUCUUGCCAUUCUUCUAUCAAUCAUGGAUUCGUUUCUCAGCUCCAGGCUUUCAAGGAGAAAUGACAGUGGGAGAAGGUCUGUGGAGCACCCAUUACUCUUCUACACAUCCUCUGAAAUUCAGUCAGAAGUGCACAUUGAUGAUCCCACGUGCUGGGAUCAAAUCAAGUGAGUUAGACAACGGGCGGACCAUCUUUAAAGUGAGGGUAGCACAGCAAAACGCUGAUAAAAAUGCUGCGCUGAGGACAGGAAAAUCUCUCUAUUCCAGACAUUUUCUUGUUCAGCUCAACCUAAAUUAUCAAAAUCACUAAAACCAAACUUGUCCUUCAGAGAUUAUUGCACUAAUUGAUAAAAUAAUGUUGUAAAUGAGUUGAUUAUACAUCAAAAAAUUUUGUAAAUUGUAGUGCUAUACAAAAUCAAAAAUAUAGUAAUAAAAUAUUUGUAAAGAAAAAAGUGAGAGUCCAC
ensembl:lncRNA